ACACAUUCUUUUAACGAUGCUAUAGGCAGUUAUUUUCUCACUUAAACAUACCGUUUUGACUCCGAUAAAGCAGAGAAACAGCAAGCCGAUUGUUUACACAAAAAAAGGGGUUACAAUGGUCAACAACAGGGCAGGUCAAAGAUGAGAAGAUGAGUAGAGCGAGGAACUGGUGGAGAGAAACUGGAAAUGGGGAGUUGGAUUAUGUCCUGCAGUACCCACUUUCCGCCAGUGAGGUGAGAACAGCUCGCGUACCGCCGGGAGAAUCGAACUGUGUGCGCUGGCUUUCGCGCCGCGUCCCCUCUGGAUGCAGAUGACAGUGGAAGGUGCUCGCUGGUCGCGUUGGCGCAGGUUCUUAUUAUUGUCAGCCUCCAUGUUGCCGUGCCUGCUGGCGCAAUAACAAGCUCGCCUUCAGUGGGUAUUGCAUCGUGUGACUGCACAACAUUCCAGGCACAGGCGUUCCAGAAAAAAUACUUAGUGUCUGCUCAUUCAGGCUUUGGCUGUCGUCCAAUUACAGGAGGAGAGAGAGAGAGGAAAAAAAGAUUCUUCAGGUUUUAAAAAAAUGCGAUUUUUGCGCAGGUUUGCAGAUGCUAGAAUAGUUUGUUUUUUUUUAAUUUGCGGGUUCCAGGCUGUGUUCCAGUGCCGGAGAGCUUUUGCUGCAGUCGAUCGUCUUGUCCUAAAGGUGUGCGUCGCACAAGGGCGUCAGAGUGCCGAGGGAGGAAGUGGCUUGAGAGCCUGACGUGCGCUGUAGGAGUCGCAGAACACUGACCACUGUAGUCCUGCAGGCUGUCUGUUACACGUGGUCUCCGCCACCACUACCGUAGCUGUCCUCAACUGCCGUGCCGAUGACGUCGGGUCCGCGUGCACGGUCACCUCUGGCCGCGUCUUGACUCAGCCAGCGGACAGGCUCCACAGUGCUUGCCGUUUUAAGGAGUGGCGGACAACUUGUCUCACAAACCGCUUCUGAUCCUUUUUUUUUUGUUCCACCGAGAACAGUGGUGACAAGUUGCAAGUGGCCUGUCAGAGCUGCUGCGAACGUUGAUUGUAGCUCGUGGCUGUAGACUGCUGGACAGGAAGAAAAUGGUGCUGUUUGCUGACCAUUGCAGACAGGACAUGUGGUGCCAGGACUGAGAAGGGCCGCAGGUAACGCGAAUGUGGUCAGCUGACUGCACCCCGCGGACGGGAUAAACAUUGCUAGUGUCACUGGUCUGUAACUGUAGACUUCCCACUGGUACCAGCAUCACAACUUUGGACUGUUCCGAACUGAUCGCUACCACUGUGUUCUGUUGUGUCGCCGAGGUUUUGUUUAACGUCAAGACACAUUCUAUCACGUGACCGCGGUGGAAAGGCGCACGCGCUAUCGCCUCCCAGUGGAAUAGCAGGGGCAAGGCAGGAGCCAGCGGUGGAGAACACCUGCCGAGGUCGCUUUUGCAGGUGCAGAUGAGACGCCCACACUGCGGUUGGAGUGUAACGACCGAUGUGUCAGUGGUGAGACGAUGAGCCUGGCAUUUGUCUGGUGCUGUGUUGGAACUCUCGUACUUGCCGAGUGGACUGUCUCGUAGGAACUAAGGCUGGAGAACUGAGAUAAGUGUAUUGGAACCCGUGUUUAAGCCUACCCUGAUGCCUGGUACCCGGUGAAGAUGGAGGGGGGAGUGACUGGCGGCGGGCCUGGGGAGGGGAUAUGUCCGGCCUGCCGCCUGCCCUUCGACUCGGGCAAGAAGCGGCGCCUCAUCG
rnacentral:lncRNA from 1 species